AGAGUUUGAUCCUGGCUCAGAGCGAACGCUGGCGGCGUGCCUUAUACAUGCAAGUCGAACGAGAACGUCACCUUCGGGUGGCAAGUAAAGUGGCGCACGGGUGAGUAACACGUAGGGAACCUACCCUGGAGUGGGGGACAACGUUCCGAAAGGAACGCUAAUACCGCGUACGAACCACCUGCAUAAGUGGGUGGUUGAAAGGUGCCCUCUCAACGAUGGUGCCGCUCCGGGAUGGCCUUGCGGCCUAUCAGCUAGUUGGUGAGGUAAUGGCUCACCAAGGCGAUGACGGGUAGCUGGUCUGAUAGGACGAUCAGCCACACUGGAACUGGAACACGGUCCAGACUCCUACGGGAGGCAGCAGUAGGGAAUAUUGCGCAAUGGGGGAAACCCUGACGCAGCAACGCCGCGUGAGUGAUGAAGGCCUUCGGGUUGUAAAGCUCUGUCGGAGGGGAAGAAGGGCGUGACGUGAAUAGCGUCGUGUCUUGACGGUACCCUCAAAGGAAGCACCGGCUAACUCCGUGCCAGCAGCCGCGGUAAUACGGAGGGUGCUAGCGUUGCUCGGAAUUACUGGGUGUAAAGCGGGUGUAGGCGGCCUCGUAUGUCGGAUGUGAAAUCCCCUGACUCAAUCAGGGACCUGCAUUCGAAACUGCGGGGCUAGAGUACGGGAGAGGAGAGUGGAAUUCUCAGUGUAGAGGUGAAAUUCGUAGAUAUUGAGAGGAACACCAGCGGCGAAGGCGGCUCUCUGGAACGAUACUGACGCUCAGACCCGAAAGCGUGGGGAGCAAACAGGAUUAGAUACUCUGGUAGUCCACGCCGUAAACUAUGAGUACUAGAUGCAGUGGGUUUUAAAUCUGCUGUGUCGUAGCUAACGCGUUAAGUACUCCACCUGGGAAGUACGGUCGCAAGAUUAAAACUCAAAGGAAUUGACGGGGGCCCGCACAAGCGGUGGAGCAUGUGGUUUAAUUCGAAGCAACGCGAAAAACCUUACCUGGGCUUGACAUCCUCGGAACUGCCCGGAAACGGGUGGGUGCCCUUCGGGGAGCCGAGAGACAGGUGCUGCAUGGCUGUCGUCAGCUCGUGUCGUGAGAUGUUGGGUUAAGUCCCGCAACGAGCGCAACCCUUGCCUGUUGUUGCCAUCAUUCAGUUGGGCACUCUACAGGGACUGCCGGUGUUAAACCGGAGGAAGGUGGGGAUGACGUCAAGUCCUCAUGGCCUUUAUGCCCAGGGCUACACACGUGCUACAAUGGCCGGUACAAAGAGUUGCAAACUCGCGAGAGUAAGCUAAUCUCAAAAAGCCGGUCACAGUUCGGAUUGGUCUCUGCAACUCGAGACCAUGAAGUCGGAAUCGCUAGUAAUUGCGGAUCAGCAUGCCGCAGUGAAUACGUUCCCGGGCCUUGUACACACCGCCCGUCACACCACGAGAGAUGAUUGGACCAGAAGUCAUUGAGCGAACCGGCAACGGUAGCAGAUGCCGAAGUUCUGGUUGUUGAUUGGGGUGAAGUCGUAACAAGGUA
rnacentral:rRNA from 1 species